rnacentral:rRNA from 1 species
GACGAACGCUGGCGGCGUGCUUAACACAUGCAAGUCGAACGGAAAGGCCCUGCUUUUGUGGGGUGCUCGAGUGGCGAACGGGUGAGUAACACGUGAGUAACCUGCCCUUGACUUUGGGAUAACUUCAGGAAACUGGGGCUAAUACCGGAUAGGAGCUCCUGCUGCAUGGUGGGGGUUGAAAGUUUCGGCGGUUGGGGAUGGACUUGCGGCUUAUCAGCUUGUUGGUGGGGUAGUGGCUUACCAAGGCUUUGACGGGUAGCCGGCCUGAGAGGGUGACCGGCCACAUUGGGACUGAGAUACGGCCCAGACUCCUACGGGAGGCAGCAGUGGGGAAUAUUGCACAAUGGGCGGAAGCCUGAUGCAGCAACGCCGCGUGCGGGAUGACGGCCUUCGGGUUGUAAACCGCUUUCGCCUGUGACGAAGCGUGAGUGACGGUAAUGGGUAAAGAAGCACCGGCUAACUACGUG